rnacentral:rRNA from 1 species
UACAGAGGGUGCAAGCGUUGUUCGGAAUUAUUGGGCGUAAAGAGCGUGUAGGCGGCCCCUUAAGUCCUGCGUGAAAUCCUGCGGCUCAACCGCAGACGGUCGUGGGAAACUGGAGGGCUAGAGUGCGGGAGAGGAGAGUGGAAUUCCCGGUGUAGCGGUGAAAUGCGCAGAUAUCAGGAGGAACACCGGUGGCGAAGGCGGCAUCCUGGACCAAUUCUGACGCUGAGGAGCGAAAGCCAGGGGAGCAAACGGG